rnacentral:rRNA from 1 species
AUUGAACGCUGGCGGCAGGCCUAACACAUGCAAGUCGAACGAGUGGCGGACGGGUGAGUAAUGUCUGGGAAACUGCCCGAUGGAGGGGGAUAACUACUGGAAACGGUAGCUAAUACCGCAUACCAUCGGAUGUGCCCAGAUGGGAUUAGCUAGUAGGUGGGGUAACGGCUCACCUAGGCGACGAUCCCUAGCUGGUCUGAGAGGAUGACAAGCCACACUGGAACUGAGCCCCGGUCCAGACUCCUACGGGAGGCAGCAUUGGGGAAUAUUGAACAAUGGGCGCAAGCCUGAGACAGCCAUGCCGCGGGUAUGAAGAAGGCCUUCGGGUUGUAAAGUACUUUCAGCGGGGAGGCGUUACCCGCAGAAGAAGCACCGGCUAACUCCGGGCCAGCCGCCGCGGUAAUAC